rnacentral:rRNA from 1 species
UACGUAGGGUGCGAGCGUUAAUCGGAAUUACUGGGCGUAAAGCGUGCGCAGGCGGUUUUGUAAGCCAGGGGUGAAAUCCCCGGGCUCAACCUGGGAAUGGCAUUUGGGACUGCAAGGCUGGAGUGCGGCAGAGGAGACUGGAAUUCCUGGUGUAGCGGUGAAAUGCGUAGAUAUCUGGAGGAACACCGGUGGCGAAGGCGGCAUCCUGGACCAAUACUGACGCUGAGUGAGCGAAAGCCAGGGGAGCAAACGGG